rnacentral:rRNA from 1 species
AGCAGCCGCGGUAAUUCCAGCUCCAAUAGCGUAUAUUAAAGUUGUUGCAGUUAAAAAGCUCGUAGUUGAAUUUCGGGAUCAAUUUAUCGGUCGUGCCAACGGUAUGAACUGGUACAGUUGGUUUCUCCCUUCUGAUGAAGCUCGAUGUCAUUAACUUGGUGUCGGGGGGAAUCAGGACUGUUACUUUGAAAAAAUUAGAGUGUUUAAAGCAGGCCUUGGCUUGAAUACAUUAGCAUGGAAUAAUGAAAUAGGACGUUUGAUCCUAUUUCGUUGGUUUCUAGGAUCGACGUAAUGAUUAAUAGGGAUAGUUGGGGGCAUUAGUAUUCAAUUGUCAGAGGUGAAAUUCUUGGAUUUAUUGAAGACUAACUACUGCGAAAGCAUGUGCCAAGGAUGUUUUCAUUAAUCAAGAACGAAAGUUAGGGGAUCGAAGACGAUCAGAUGCCGUCGUAGUCUUAACCAUAAACUAUGCCGACUAGGGAUCGGAUGAUGUUAAUUUUUUAAUGACUCA